AGAAGAUAAUACGUCAUCGUCAAGCUACCAUAUCAACAACUGUAUUCUAUGUUAGCUGUGUUUUCUGUGCUUUUGGUGUUAUAAUGGCCGUCUGUUUUCUGGUCUUUAAUCUCUACUAUAGAAAACUAAGGUAUAUAAAAUUAUCUAGUCCAAUGUUAAAUGAUGUGGCUGUGAUUGGUUGUAUUUUGGUCUAUACAGCGGUUAUCGUUCUUGGUUUAGAUGAUGCUAUUCUUCCUCGUCACGUCUUCCCGUUUAUAUGCACUAUUCGAGUUCUGCUGUUUGCUGCAGGAUUUUCACUGGCUUUUGGCGCAAUGUUUGCUAAAACGUACCGUGUGCAUCAAAUCUUUACUCGCGCACACACGGGACUUGUCAAAAGCAAGUUAUUACGUGAUAAACAUCUGUUGUUUAUGAUUGGAACAUUACUAUUGAUUGAUUCCGCUAUUGUGUUUGUGUGGGUGUUAGCUGAUCCAAUGGAACGACAGAUAACAAAUCUUACAUCUGAGG